AGUGAACGCUGGCGGUAGGCCUAACACAUGCAAGUCGAACGGCAGCACAGGAGAGCUUGCUCUCUGGGUGGCGAGUGGCGGACGGGUGAGGAAUACAUCGGAAUCUACUUUUUCGUGGGGGAUAACGUAGGGAAACUUACGCUAAUACCGCAUACGACCUACGGGUGAAAGCAGGGGACCUUCGGGCCUUGCGCGAUUGAAUGAGCCGAUGUCGGAUUAGCUAGUUGGCGGGGUAAAGGCCCACCAAGGCGACGAUCCGUAGCUGGGCUGAGAGGAUGAUCAGCCACACUGGAACUGAGACACGGUCCAGACUCCUACGGGAGGCAGCAGUGGGGAAUAUUGUACAAUGGGCGAAAGCCUGAUCCAGCCAUACCGCGUGGGUGAAGAAGGCCUUCGGGUUGUAAAGCCCUUUUGCUGGGAAAGAAAUCCAGCUGGCUAAUACCCGGUUGGGAUGACGGUACCCAAAGAAUAAGCACCGGCUAACUUCGUGCCAGCCGCCGCCGUAA
rnacentral:rRNA from 1 species